GAUGAACGCUGGCGGCGUGCCUAAUACAUGCAAGUCGAGCGAACGGACGAGAAGCUUGCUUCUUUGAUGUUAGCGGCGGACGGGUGAGUAACACGUGGAUAACCUACCUAUAAGACUGGGAUAACUUCGGGAAACCGGAGCUAAUACCGGAUGAUAUUUUGAACCGCAUGGUUCAAAAGUGAAAGACGGUCUUGCUGUCACUUAUAGAUGGAUCCGCGCUGCAUUAGCUAGUUGGUAAGGUAACGGCUUACCAAGGCAACGAUGCAUAGCCGACCUGAGAGGGUGAUCGGCCACACUGGAACUGAGACACGGUCCAGACUCCUACGGGAGGCAGCAGUAGGGAAUCUUCCGCAAUGGGCGAAAGCCUGACGGAGCAACGCCGCGUGAGUGAUGAAGGUCUUCGGAUCGUAAAACUCUGUUAUUAGGGAAGAACAUAUGUGUAAGUAACUGUGCACAUCUUGACGGUACCUAAUCAGAAAGCCACGGCUAACUACGUG
rnacentral:rRNA from 1 species